CAGAUACCUCGCGGGCUCUGCAGCACCGGCACCGUUUCCAGGAGGCCUGGCGGGGUGUGCGUGCAGCCGUUGGGCGCCUUCUUUUUGGACCUCGGGGCCAUCCACACCGUCCCCUCCCCCUCCCGCCUCCCUCCCUCCUCCCCCGCGCGCCCUCCCCGCGGAGGUCCUCCCCGUCCGACCUCCUGCUCCCUCCUCGGCUGGCCUUACCGCCCGGGCCGGCGCCGCGCGCGGGGGAAGCUGGCUGGCUGAGGCACCCCGCUCUCCUCCUCUUCCGAGGGCCGCCCCUCUGCCCCGGGCCCGCGAGGCCACGCGUCGCCGCCCGAGAGAUGAUGCAGGACGUGUCCAGCUCACCAGUCUCGCCGGCCGACGACAGCCUGAGCAACAGCGAGGAAGAGCCAGACCGGCAGCAGCCGCCGAGCGGCAAGCGCGGGGGACGCAAGCGGCGCAGCAGCCGGCGCAGCGCGGGCGGCGGCGCGGGGCCCGGUGGGGCCGCGGGCGGGGGCGUCGGAGGCGGCGACGAGCCGGGCAGCCCGGCCCAGGGCAAGCGCGGCAAGAAGUCUGCGGGCUGCGGCGGCGGCGGCAGCGCGGGCGGCGGCGGCGGUGGCGGCGGCGGCGGCAGCAGCAGCGGCGGCGGGAGCCCGCAGUCGUACGAGGAGUUGCAGACGCAGCGGGUCAUGGCCAAUGUGCGGGAGCGCCAGCGCACUCAGUCGCUGAACGAGGCGUUCGCCGCGCUGCGGAAGAUCAUCCCCACGCUGCCCUCGGACAAGCUGAGCAAGAUUCAGACCCUCAAGCUGGCGGCCAGGUACAUCGAUUUCCUCUACCAGGUCCUCCAGAGCGACGAGCUGGACUCCAAGAUGGCAAGCUGCAGCUAUGUGGCUCACGAGCGGCUCAGCUACGCCUUCUCGGUCUGGAGGAUGGAGGGGGCCUGGUCCAUGUCUGCGUCCCACUAGCAGGCGGAGCCCCCCACCCCCUCGGCAGGGCCGGAGAUCUAGCCUUCCCACCUCACUUGGCACCGCUGCCUCGCGCCUCGAGCGUCCCGGGAAGGCCGGUCUGACCCCGCCAAGGAGAGCGGUCUCCAGGGGGAUGCGCCCUGGUGAGGGGUGUGUGUGCGCGUGAGUGUGCGUAACAGACUGGAGGGGAGACAGAGACACCCAGGGGUCACGGAUGUCAUUGUUUCCAGAGAAGGAGAAAAUGGACAGUCUAGAGACUCUGGAGCUGGAUAACUAAAUAUAAAAAUAUAUGCCAAAGAUUUUCUUGGAAAUUAGAAGAGCAAAAUCCAAAUUCAAAGAAACAGGGCGUGGGGCGCACUUUUAAAAGAGAAAGCGAGACAGGCCCGUGGACAGUGAUUCCCAGACGGGCAGCGGCACCAUCCUCACACCUCUGCAUUCUGAUAGAAGUCUGAACAGUUGUUUGUGUUCUUUUUUUUUUUUUUUUUUUUUGACGAAGAAUGUUUUUAUUUUUAUUUUUUUCAUGCAUGCAUUCUCAAGAGGUCGUGCCAAUCAGCCAUUGAAAGGAAAGGCAUCAUUGUGGACUUUCUCUGUUUUAAAAUGGUAACAAUCAGAGGAACUAUAAGAACACCUUUAGAAAUAAAAAUACUGGGAUCAAACUGGCCUGCAAAACCAUAGUCAGUUAAUUCUUUUUUUCAUCUUUCCUCUGAGGGGGAAAAAAAAAAACUUAAAAUACAAAAAACAACAUUCUAUUUAUUUAUUGAGGACCCAUGGUAAAAUGCAAAUAGAUCCGGUGUCUAAAUGCAUUCAUAUUUUUAUGAUUGUUUUGUAAAUAUCUUUGUAUAUUUUUCUGCAAUAAAUAAAUAUGAUCAAAAAUUUAAAGAA